GACGAACGCUGGCGGCGUGCUUAACACAUGCAAGUCGAACGGAAAGGCCCUGCUUUUGUGGGGUGCUCGAGUGGCGAACGGGUGAGUAACACGUGAGUACCCUGUCCUUGACCUUGGGAUAACUUCAGGCAACUGGGGCUAAUCCCGGCUAGGAGCUCCUGCUGCAUGGUGGGGGUUGGAAAGUUUCGGCGGUUGGGGAUGGACUCGCGGCUUAUCAGCUUGUUGGUGGGGUAGUGGCUUACCAAGGCUUUGACGGGUAGCCGGCCUGCGAGGGUGACCGGCCACAUUGGGACUGAGAUACGGCCCAGACUCCUACGGGAGGGAGCAGUGGAGAAUAUUGCACAAUGGGCGGAGGCCUGAUGCAGCAACGCCGUGUGCGGGAUGACAGCCUUCGGUUUGUAAACCGCUUUCGCCUGUGACGAAGCGUGAGUGACGGUAAUGGGUAAAGAAGCACCGGCUAACUACGUG
rnacentral:rRNA from 1 species